GUGAGUCAUGACAAGAACACACAGCUCUCCACUUAGUUUUCUGUUUCCAAGGCUUUUUCACAGUUGUGGUAGUUUCUCUUAGACCUCCGGCAUGUGUCAAAUCUGCAGCAGCUUAUUUUCCUGAACUUGCAUGAUAAUCACAUCUCUGAUAUGACUGGCAUUGAAGUUCUAACGUCUCUCAGGAUACUCCUGCUGGGGAAGAACAGGCGCUGUCUGAAGGACUGUCCCCAGCUAGACAUUGUAGAAGAACUGUAUAUUCUAAACCUCCAGCACAAUCGAAUCAGAAGGAUCUCGCAUGUGUCAAAUCUGCAGCAGCUUAUUGUCCUGAACUUGCAUGAUAAUCACAUCUCUGAUAUGACUGGCAUUAAAGUUCUAAGGUCUCUCAGGAUACUCCUGCUGGGGAAGAACAGAAAACAGGCUACAUGCAUCCAGCCAGAAAAGACAAAUCCAGACACCGCCAGUGCCGUCGUUUUCUGCCAAUAACUCACAUACAACACAAGAAACAAGAGACAAAACAAGUAGACCAACCCACAGUGCAGGAGCCACUAUCACAAAGCCUUAAAAAUUCCCAAGCCAGGAGGACUGCCGACGAGACUUGGAGGAUGGCUGCCUAAGUUUUGAGCUCCCGAAGGUUUUAAUGAUUAACCCCCAAAAAACUGGUUUUCACGUGAGGAUGUUAGCUCCGAAGCUAGCCUGCAAAGUAUUCUCACCGAAAUCCGAGAAUUCAGAAGAGACAACAGAACGCAACUCUCCCACAUUAAACAAGACAUAAAGAGAGCUAACGAGAGACUAGAUGAAGUCGAAGGGAGGAUUGAUGAGACUGA
ensembl:lncRNA